CCUGGCUCAAAAGCUCCCCUACUGAGUACCUUGUGACCCCCACUCCUGCCCGCCAGAGAACAACCCCCCUUUUUCCUUUACCUACCCAAAUCCUAUAAAACAGCCCCAUCCUAUCUCCCUUCGCUGACUCUCUUUUCGGACUCAGCCCGCCUGCACCCAGGUGAUUAAAAGCUUUAUUGCUCACACAAAGCCUGUUUGGUGGUCUCUUCACACGGACGCGCAUGAAAGAAAUUACUUUUUUUCAAGAAUGAGUUCAUGUCCUUUGCAGGGACAUGGAUGAAGCUGGAAGGCACCAUUCUCAGCAAACUAACACAGGAACAGAAAACCAAACACCGCAUGUUUUCACUCAUAAAUAAUACAUGAAGCCGGGCACAGUGGCUCACACCUGUAAUCCCAGCACUUUGGAAGGCCGAGGCGGGCAGAUCACCUGAGGUUAGAGAAAACAUCCUGAAUGCCACUGUGAACACUCUUAUUGACUUCUCUCAGAUUUUCUCAUUGUUACAUAAAGGGAUGUAUUGUUACAUGAAGUUCUUUCAGCCUUCGUUAAAACUCUCUAGAAGCAUUCUGUAUUAGGACUACAAUCAGCAGUCAUGGUUUGUAUGCUUCAUAAUCAUUUCACUGGGUUUACUUUUCAAUAUCCCUAGGGUAUUAAUCUUUUGAAAACUCACUUGCAGUGGAGAUGAUUCCAUUGUAAAAUGUUUCUUCAUUCCCAAUAGCACAAUAUAGUAAGUAGUAGGUCUAUUUUCAUGCUGUAUCAACUAAUUUGCAAUCAUAGCAGAUCUUAAGAUUUCUUCUUCCAAGAUGUCUUAACCUGCCAGGGGUUAUAUUCAUUCAAUUAAUGUUUGCUGUGUGAAUUAAUUCCAUUGUGGUUUUGCUAACUCCUAUUUUACUAAAAGUCUCCUUGAACCAGAGUGUCAUGUUGUUUGUUUCUUGACAUCUAAUGAGAGGUCAGAGGAAAUGAUUUCUGAGAUACCUUCUUAACCUUUCAAAGUCCAACAUAUUUUAUGCUACUGUCUCAAACUAAUUUUUUUAACCAAGGCAUUAAAUUGAAAAUACCACAGAGGGUUAUUAUGAAAAUAUUUACUUUUCUCAAAACAUGUGAAAAUAUGAUGUUUUAAACUUUGUGGGAAAGGUAUUGUUUACAGCAGGAUUGAGAGGAAAGCAAUUAGAUUUUUAAUCCUGCUCUCUCACUCCCUUUAUAAAAUUGGAAAAUUUAUUUAAAAAUUUUGUGCCUCAGUUUCUUCAUCAGCAAAACUGUUAACACAUACAACUCUGUGUAUGUACAUGUAUGUUUAUAAUCAGUCACACUAAAUAAUGCACCUAUGAAUGCAGGAUUUAUUUAUUAAUUAUUUCACAGUUUACAAGAAUAUGUAGUUCAUUCAAAAUUAUUACAAAUGAAAAAUAAUUCAUAUAGACACAGGAUCAUAUAGUCUGACAUAAAUUGACAACAGAUGUGAAGAUAUUGUUGAUGCUUGGUUCUGACAAUGGACAAAGCAAAGCUAAAGUUAAAUCUAAUCUUCGAUUAUUUCAUGUUGCUGUGCUUUCAAAGGCAAAGCAGGGGAAGUCAUGCCACAGGGCAAGAGCUAAAGCAAGACAGAGAAGGGGAAGGUCCAGACUCCUUAAACCACCAGAUCUCACAUGAGCUAACUGAGCAAGGACUCACUCCUUAUCUUCGGGAUAGGACUAAGGCAUUCAUGAGGGACCAGUUGUCAUGACCCAAACACCUCCCACUAAGCCCACUGCCAAAUUGGAGGUCACAUUUCAAUGUAAAAUUUGAAGGGGACAAAACAUCCAAACCCAUCUCAUUAAUAUCCAUACCCAUUCUGUUCUUCAGACAUCUGCUGAUAUAAAUUAGAAAAUUCAAGCAGUUCUUUUGGAGCAUAGACCUGCUCGUGGGUAGCGCUCUUAGCCACACUUCCACACUUCCAGGGGCCUGCUGGGACUUGAGUCUAGUUACAGGUCUAGAAGCAAAGAAGGGUGAUGGGGGUGGUCCCUGAGGAGAAUCAGCAUUGACUUGUCUGGCAACUGUCUCAGGGGAAGCUAUUACUAUUUCCUCAGGCAAUGCAGGGUUAAUAUCCUCAGAAAAAGGUGGAAAAGCUGAUACCAUUCUGGGUCAGGGAGGGGAUGUUGCCAUCAUGGAAUGUAGAGAGGUCUCUUCCUCUGGCAAAAUUAGCUCAUCAGAAUUUAGGAGCUCUGUGUCCCCAGCUUCAUCAGGGUCCUCCCAUAUAUCUCCAUUCCAAAUUACAGGGUCCAUUUUUUUCCCAGCCAAUGCUCUCACUUUAACAGUAAACACUCAGCAAGGCUGAGAGUUCACCAUUUGUUGUUAGCCAGCCACUCACAGAUAAGAGCUUGUGUUUGAUUUUUCAGAAAUUUAAACCCUUUGUCUACAGAAGAGAAGAUUCUCACUGGGCACCCUUAGAAACUUUUAGGCUAGGUAUGUGCCUCUGCAGCAAGGAGUUAGAAUCCCUUAGCUCAUCUUUAUCUUUCUUCACUUUGUCCAGUGAACUUAGGACCAACCAACUUCAUUAUUUCUUGGUUUUCCACAAAUGUUCGAAAGUAUCACGUAUACAGUCACUAAAUUCCUUUCUUCUCAGUAGUAGUGAACCAAAAGUAUCACAUGCAUUUAUUUUGCAUAACUCUAAAAACAGCUCAAGCUAGGGACUGUCAAUGUUCUCUGUACUAUUAGAAGCAGAGUCCUUAGAGUUUUUAGGUUUAGUCAAAUUAGAGAGCCAACUUCUAAAACCCAAAACCAACUAAGGAAAUUCAUCCUUAAACUUCUAUUUCCCUAGAACCUGUAUAAGCCAGUUCCUCAUAUCAAAAUCUGUAUUAGUCACAGUUCUCCAGAGAGGCAGACACAAUAGGAUGUACACACACACACACACACACACACAUAUAUAUAUAUGUUUAUUAGGUAAUAGAUUUAUUAUAUAAGUUAAAGGUCUACAGGCAAAGAGGUGUGGUGAGGUUGAAUCCUGAGGAGAAGCAGCAUUAUCUUGCCUGGCAACUGCCUCAGGAGAGGCUAUUGCUAUUUUCUCAGGCAAACAUUUAUAUAUAUAUAUAAAAGUUUAUUAGGGAGAAUUGGCUCACAGAAUUACAAGAUAAUGUUCCAAAAUAGGUAAUCUGUAAGCUGGGGAAAGAGAGAAGCCAGUAGCCUGGCUCAGUCCAAGUCCCAAGUCUGAAAGCCUUAAAACCAGGGAAAUUGACUGUGCAGCCAUCAGUCUGAGGUAGAAUGCCCAAGAGUCAUGCACCCGAGAUGGGUGCACUUCUCAGCAUCUGAAGGUCAAACAACCUGGAGUCUGAUGCCCAAGGGCAGGAGGAGAGGAAGCAAACCAUCUGGCACAGUGGGGAAAGAGAGAUAGCAAGCAGACCCAGCAAGCAAGCUACUUAUCACCUUCUUCUACCUGCUUUAUUCUACAUGCACUGGGAGCCAAUUCAAUGGUGCCCACCCACACUGAGGGCUGGUCUUCCUUUCCCAGUCCACUAACUCAAAUAUCAAUCUCCUCCAGCAAAUACCCUCACAUACACACCCAGGAACAGUGCUUCAUCAGCCAUCUAGGCUCCCUCAGUUCAGUCAAGUUGAUGCCUGUUAUUAACAACUACAGUCUUCUUUGUCCAAAAUUGCUCACAAUUGCUUUAUAAUAAAAAUUGAGUCAACUUUCAACAGGAUUUUGUAAUUGAGUUCUAUUCACUAAAUCAUCUACAGAAACAGUGGAAAUGUAAAUAAUUAGGCAAUGCUUAGAUAAAUAAUUGCUCCUCUGAGCAAUUGUCUUUCAUAAACCCAUCAAAAGCAAUGUUUUAUAAAGUACAUAAUGCCAUAAAUUACAUGAAGAUGAUAACUUAUGAAAAAGCAAGAAAUAUGUCAUCUGAAAAGGUUUUAAAUGUAUACAGAGCCAGGCACAGUAAUAGAAAUUUCACAUCUUCUUACUUAUGGGGGUCUGACUCACAGACCCUGACCCAACAACAGAUGAAUAAAGUACACUGACACACAGAUAUUCUGCUUUGUCAGUCCAACUGAGCGUCCGGGCCCCUUAACAGAUUCCAAGCAGAGUGCUGUAAACAGUUGCAACCACAGCCCUGACCAGCCAGUGAGACUCACAUUUAUUUAGUAAGGAUUAAUUGACAAAGGCUUGAGACAACCCCACUAGAGGGUAAUUGAUAUUGCAGACUUCCGGAGUAGAAAGCAAUUAAGCACCCGUGGUAGAUCAAAGGUUAGUCUUAGGACCACAUGAGUAAACAAGCUAGUUAGACAAACUCCCCACAUUCCUUUGUUUCUACUCUAAUUUAUUUAAUUAAAGGGACAAGGCUGCCUUCAGCCAAGUACUAUAUGUAAAAACUCCCAGGCCUUCCUAAAGGGUUUGUGUAUAUUCUCUGUAGCUAAAAUUUUUCCCACCAUCAUGACUGAACCCCCACAAUCACUUAUUUGUUGGAGCUAAAAAUUAAAACAAUUGAACCCCUGGUGAUAGAGAGUGGAAUGAUGGUUAGGGAUGGUCAAUGGGUACACAAUAUAAUUAGGAAGAAUGAAUAAGAUCUAAUAUUUGAUAACACAACAGAGUGACUGCAGUCAACAAUAACUUACUGUACAUUUAAAAAUAACUAAAAGAGUAUAAUAGGAUUGCAUGUAACACAAAGAAUGGACAAAUUCUUGAGGUAAUGGAUACUCUAUUUACCCAGAUGUGAUUAUUGUGCAUUGUACACCUGUAUAAAAAUAUCUCAUGUACCCCAUAAAUAUGUAUACCUAC
rnacentral:lncRNA from 1 species